AGAAUUUUUAACAUUCAGUUUUUACGAGAAACAAUUCCAUAUUUCUUCCAUUUUUUGUCAGUUUGUUGAAUUUGUUGUGACAGAAUUGGUAAAUGAGGUAGUAACGACUGGAUCCCAGGUUAUCUAGGCUGAUUUUAGGUUACCAGUUUAUGUGAAUUUGUUUCUUAUAACUCAGUUACCACAGUUUUUACCAAAUAAACCGACUGUUUUCACGCGUAACUUGUUCUUUUCAGAGACCACCUGUUAUAUUUGAUAGUACAGACAUCUUAAGGAGGCAGACCUAAGUUAAGGGAAAUCACUCUUUUAAAUUAUCUGUACGUUUUUGUCAACCAUUUUCUGAAAUAUAUUCUAAGCUUCUAGGUGACAUAGGUUAUUUCCAAUCUGUUUCAGGUAAAUGCUUAAACUGUAUUGAUGAAACUUGACUUUUACAAACGCAUCACUGAUGUUAAGAGUCAUCUCCCUGAAAUAAGGUCUAUACCCUUAAAUUAAAGUAGAUAUUGGUAUUUUAAAAUAAAUUACCUCUCAAUUAACACUGUCUCAGCCAAGAUUUCUGUAUGUUUACCCCUUGAACAAGAAAAACGAAACCAAUAGUUAGUUUGAUAUUUACCUAGAAACCAGUCUUUGUGUGUGUAUGUAUGUUGAUUUUGUAUGAAAAUGUAUGUUGGAUACCCUGAAUAAUAAAUCGUUUUAUAUACACUGUAAAACUCGUGCUUAGAAAUUAAACACUUGUGUUACAUUUUUAGAUCUAAACGUGUUCAGGAUUGUGUUUAAUUUCUAAACACAUUUCUCAGUAAGCACAUACUAUUUAAACAUGGCGUGAAUUUAAACACGUUUAGAAAUGAAAGUGUUAAGAAAUUAAACACUUUUUAAAGCUAAACACGAUUCUAAACGCAAUCCUAAACUCAUUGUACUGAGAAACGUUUAAACCUAAACAUGUAAAAAAAGUGCGUAAAAGAUGUGCUAAGAAUUGUGUUUAGGAUCUAAACACCAUUUUUACAGUGUACAACGAUCUGUUUUAAACACAAAAGCCGCCAGAGCAGACGUGAGACGAAAAUACAGUAAUUUUGUUAAUUUGAUCUUUCAGGUUGUUACAUUUUGAGAAAUCGUAAAUAGGUUUUCUACAGUAAUGUCCUUUUUGUUUUAAACUAAGGCGGGGAAUAAAACGGUAAAACCUUUCGCUAAUUAUGUAUACUAAAGGUAUAUGAUAAGUGUAUAUUACAGGUAAUAUUUACAAAUCCAGAAUGCAUUUCUAUUGAAUAAUUUAAUUUUUCAUAUCAAAAAUUUGUCGUAUAAGCUAAUACCAAAGAUUUAAAUUGAGAUGUUAUAUUCUAUAAAACAUAUCAAUUCGCCAAUGCAGAAUUCAAAGAUCUAUGGGUAAUUUCAUGGUCUGUACCCCUUAGAUGAAAAUUAAAGUCAUAGCAUUGGUUGGUUUCCGUUGUUUUUGGACAUUUUAACCAAUCAACACGUUUUUGAUGUACGCAUUUGAAAAUAUUACCCAGAAUGCUAUAGAUUCUGUGAUGGCAAAUUUAUCAGAGUUCGCUAUCAAAAGCCAGGACUCUAUAUCUAAUAGUUUUAUUCUGUAUUCAUUAAAAUAGUGUAAAUUAUGUCGGGAUACUUAUAACUUACAUUGCGACAUACAAUACACAUCAUAUAUUUUUUCAAUGUUUGUAUGCAUUUUCAAUUCGUUUAUAAAAAAUACAUCGUAUUGGGUAUUAAUUUUUACUGAUCAGGAUUGUGCUUUAACCUAGUCACUCGUUUCAACGUUGAUUUACAGAUACAUGUAACAUGUGUGUAUUGAACAAAAUGAAACUUGGCUGACGGAAGACAGAAGAGAAGACAAAGCUCGAUAUAUUUCACAAAUGCCAAAAGUUACAAUGAUUUUUUAUUCAGAUAAAGUACUUGAUAUGCUAUAUUUAAACGUCAUGUAAAAUCAGACUUGUCGACCUAAAUUUGCAUAUAGUAUGAACAUUUACGAAAGAAGUGUAUUAGGAAUAUACAUGUAAUAGUUGUGAGGCACGAAAUAUGCGCAAUUAGAAUAGCUGAAAGCGCCAUUAGACUCCUUGUCUGUGUAUUUCAAAGCCUUUGCUUGAAGCACAGAAUCUUCAUACCACGAGGGCUAAGAUCUAUAGUCUUUUACAUUUUUUUUUUUAAUUUUAACUGGCAUUUGUUGAUUUGGCAAAGAAUCUAAAUGAACAAGAACAACUAAAAUCUACCGUGUAAUACAAGUGAAAACUGUUACUGUUAACAUUUUGACACGUCAAAAUGGCCGAACAUGAAAAAAUAUGAUUUAGUGUAAAGGAUUGAAUAUUAAAUAAUGAUAUUUCUGAAUGAAAAUUUCAAUUCAAAGAUGUAUUUAAUUUUCAGGGUAUCAUAUAUGUCUGUUUUCAAUUUGUUAUAUGAAUUGUUACUAUGUGAAUGCCGGAG
rnacentral:lncRNA from 1 species